rnacentral:lncRNA from 1 species
GGCGGAGGGCCGGCGAUAGCAGUUGCGAGGCGGCUCGGCGCGGGUCGUGGAGGCCAAGUGGCGGCGGCCGGUGCGGCGGAUGCAAGAUGGCCGGCGCGGUGCCAAGGCCGCGCGACGACGGCCCAGGGCGAGGCAAGGAGGCCGCAUGCUGGCGGUAGCGGGGCGUUUCGCCGCGGCAUGAGGAGACCGCGCGGCAGAGAGACGGCGUGGCGGUGGCCGCGUGCGAGGAGACGC